AACGAACGCUGGCGGCAGGCUUAACACAUGCCAGUCGAACGCCCCGCAAGGGGAGUGGCAGCCGGGUGAGUACCGCGUGGGAACAUACCCUUUUCUACGGAAUAGCUCUGGGAAACUGGAAUUAAUACCGUAUACGCCCUACGGGGGAAAGAUUUAUCGGGGAAGGAUUGGCCCGCGUUGGAUUAGCUAGUUGGUGGGGUAAAGGCCUACCAAGGCGACGAUCCAUAGCUGGUCUGAGAGGAUGAUCAGCCACAUUGGGACUGAGACACGGCCCAAACUCCUACGGGAGGCAGUAGUGGGGAAUAUUGGACAAUGGGCGCAAGCCUGAUACAGCCAUGCCGCGUGAGUGAUGAAGGACUUAGGGUUGUAAAGCUCUUUCACCGAUGAAGAUAAUGACGGUAGUCGGAGAAGAAGCCCCGGCUAACUUCGUG
rnacentral:rRNA from 1 species